rnacentral:misc_RNA from 1 species
GAUGAAGAACGUAGCGAAAUGCGAUAAGUAGUGUGAAUUGCAGAAUUCAGUGAAUCAUCGAAUCUUUGAACGCACAUUGCGCCUUCCGGUAUUCCGGAAGGCAUGCCUGUCCGAGCGUCAUCAAAAACCACUCAAGUAGUUUUGCUUGGUUAUGAAAGAAGAGUUUGCUUGCAAAUUCCCUUUCGAAAUUCAAUGGCGGAGGGUCUCAUGAUUCCGGCGUAGUAAUAACUUAUUCGCUUGGUCAUUGUGACAAUCCUGCCUCAAACCCCCAAUUCUAGUGUUUGACCUCGGAUCAGGUAGGGAUACCCGCUGAACUUAAGCAUAUCAAUAAGCGGAGGA